rnacentral:lncRNA from 1 species
GGCGAACAAGGCCUCCUGGGGGCACCGGGACAAGCAGGGACCACCCGGCCCCCUGGGUCCCGUGGGAUUGCCCGGCCUCAAAGGAGACCCCGGCCACAAGGGAGAGAAGGUGGGACGGGUUUUUUUUUUUUGGGGGGGGAGGGGGCUGGGGGGCUGCUCCUUGGGGAGGUGGCUUUUGUCCCUUUUUUGUCCCUUUUUUGUCCCUUUUGUCCCCAGGGCCACGCCGGUUUGAUUGGGCUCAUCGGACCGCCGGGGGAAAUGGGGGAGAAGGGAGACCAGGGGCUCCCCGGCAUCCAGGGCCCCCCAGGACCCAAAGGAGACCCCGUAAGUGGUUGGGGUCUCCCCCCGAGCUUCAGGGGGAGCUGCGCAGCUUGGGGGGGGGGGGACGAGGCACAGGUAGGGCGCAGUCCCCUGGAGCACGGGGCUGAUGCCGAUUCCCCGCAGGGUUUGGCUGGCCCCAUCGGCCCCACCGGCCCCCCCGGCCCCCCCGGGCUGUCGGGUCCCUUGGGCCAGAAGGGCUCCAAAGGCUCUCCGGUGAGUGCUGGGGAGGGACAGGGAUAUGGGGACAGGGUGGGGGCUCCCAUCGUGUGCCCCCAUGCGACCCCCCCCCCCCCACAAAGUUGGGUGGCAGCGGGGGGUGAGCACCGCGUGGCCGAAUCCUUUUGCAGGGCGCUCUGGGUCCCCGAGGUGACACCGGCCCCCCAGGCCCCCCAGGACCACCGGUAAGGGACGCUUUGGGCACAGGGACAACGGGGGGGCUCUGCUCCUGAGCCCCCCCUCAUCCCGCUCUCCCCCCUUUUUCCGUGCCCCCCCCAGGGCCGCCCGGCUGAGCUGCUCGAGCCGCUGCCCUCGAGCCGGAGCGGGAGGCACCGACGGGCAACCCAAGGGGCUCGGGGCGAGCGGGGACCCCCCCAGGACUACGAGGGGCUGGAGGAGGUGUACGCCUCGCUCAGCUCCCUGCGUCACCGAGGUCGAGCAGCUGCGGAGACCCCUGGGCACCCCCGAGAGCCCCGCGCGCGUCUGCAAGGAGCUGCAGCUCUGCCACCCCCACCUGCAGGACGGCGAGUACUGGAUCGACCCCAACCAGGGCUGCUCCCGCGACGCCUUCAGGGUUUUUUGCAACUUCACAGCCGGCGGCGAGACCUGCCUCUUCCCCGAGAAGAAAUUCGAGGCCGUCCGUCUCGCUGCCUGGAACAGGGAGAAGCCGGGGAUGUGGUACAGCACCUUCAGGAGGGGCAAGAAGUUCUCCUACGUGGACGCGGACGGGAACCCGGUGGCCGUGCCCCAGCUCACCUUCCUGCGCCUCCUGAGCGCCAGCGCCCGCCAAAAUUUCACCCUGACGUGCCAAAACGCCGCCGCUUGGUACGACGCCCGCGCCGCCUCCUUCGCCCGCGCCCUGCGCUUCCGCGGGGCCAACGACGAGGAGCUGGGCCACGACCACCCGGCCGCCCCCAUCCGUGCCCUCCACGACGGCUGCCAGGUGAGGUCCCCCAGCACCCCGUUUGCUGUUUUUUUGGUUUUUUGUUUUUUUUUUGGGGGGGUUCCCAGCCCCUCGACCCGCUCCCGUCCCCGCAGGAACGCCGUGGGCAGGAGCGGACGGUGCUGGAGGUGUCCUCGUCCCGCGUCGAGCGGCUGCCGCUGAUGGACGUGGCCGUGGCCGAUUUUGGAGAGGCCAACCAGAAAUUCGGCUUCGAGCUGGGCCCCGUCUGCUUCGUGGGCUGAGCACGGCCCCCAGACACGGGUGGGCGGGGGUCUCCGUGCCCCCCCCCUGCCACCCCCUGCGCCAGGGACAGUGCCCCAGGCUCUGCUCUGGCAUUCUCAGGACUCGGAGCCGCCGCAGCGCCGUCCCCUCCUGCCCUCGUGGGCCCCCCCUUAUUUAUACUGCCGGCUCCUCGAGGCGGGAGGGGGGCAAAGCUGGGGCAGGGCACCCCAGAUGGUAAGGAGGGGGGGCCCGAGCCCCCUCCCCGUGGUGCUACAACGCUCCCUUAGUGAAGCACUGGAUGUGCCCUCGGCACGGCGACACCGAGAGCCCCAACACGCGGGGACCAGGGGGGCACCGGAUCCGCGCCCCCCCUCCCGGUGCCAUCACUGGGGAUACGAUUUUACCGUGGUCUCCUGCGUGGGGAGCCCCCUGCCCAUUUUUUUUUUUUUUUUGGGGGGGGGGGUCUCCCCGUUUCACCGUGGGGCAGAGCUGGGGAAGCUCGGUGCCGGUCCCGGUGCCGUUACUGUACGAUAAAGCGACUGUAUGGAAGCUGGCUGCCCCCCCAAAUCCUUCCCGAUUUCCACGCA